CUAGUUUGGAGAGAGAAGGAGAGAUCUGGCUGUAAGGGCUGAGAAAGUACCUAGAUUGGGAGCAGGGCCUGAUUUUCAGAUGUGCUAAACAGCCUCAGUUCUACAGAGGUCAAUGGGAUCUGUGUCAGGGUGGCAUCUCUGUAAAUCCAUUGUAAAUGGUUUAAUGACCAUUAUUUGUGAAAAUAAAGUAAGAGGAUUCUUCAACCAAAAAAGAAGCAUACAUUUCCCUAGUAUGAGGAGCUGGACCCAAACACAAAUGUUCUCAAGAUUCCUUUCACCUGGGCAUAUUAGUUGGAGGAAAGGAAUGAUCCUCAGGGACAGUUCCUCAGAAGAAAGGAAUGAUCCUCAGGGACAGUUCCUCAGAAGAAAGGAAGUGUUUGAUGAAUGAGGAUACAGAGGUCUCAAAGUAGCUGUGUCAUGCCUCAGCAAGAGCUUCCACAAAGAAGACUGAUGGUAGUUACUUACUGCCUUUACAGAUGUGGGAGGAUAUUCAGGCAUCUGUGGGACACUGUGCUCUUUAAUAAAAAAAAAAAAAAAAAAAAAA